rnacentral:tRNA from 1 species
AUUUAUAUAGUUUAAAUAAAACAUUAUAUUUUCAUUAUAAAAUUAGAUUUUUAUCUUGUAAAUA